UCAUUAACAUUCUCUCUUCCUUGUCACAGAGCAAGAGGAAGGAGUUGCUGCUGCAAGGAAACUAAAUAAUCAGCAGUUUGAAAGCCUAAAAUGCGGAAGGAUGCAUUAGGAAAACCACUUGAGGUUGGAUGUCGGGAGUCUACUUGUUGACCCAAGGCCUCAAAUUUUUACUGAUUUAAAAUGUUAUAUAUCCUGGAAGAACUACAUGUAAAAAAAGACAGUAUUAAUUUAAAGGCUAAACCACAAUAAACUCUGCAAAACAUAAAGUAAAGCCUCCAAGAUCUUUUGUGUAAAUGUUUGUUUUCCAAGGUUUGCAGUUUUUUUUAUUUUCUUAAGGGUAGCUGGCAUCACUAUUGAGUAACUUUCAUCAAAGGGUAACACAGUAAAGAAAACCUGAAAACGUUGCUAGCAACUUGGUUUCUAUAGUUUGGUCAAUGGUUUUGGUUUGUUGGAAACAAAGGAGAAUUGGAGACAUACAGAAAUAGACAUACAUAUUUCAAAAAUAAACUUGUACAAGAAUAAAGUCAAAUAGGUCACUAUCAAUAUAGUCACAUUAUCAGAAUAAAAAUUAUUUUUUUCUUAUUUCAACUCUACUCUCAAACUAUUAUGACUUUAUUCUUGUAAUUGUAUUUUCUUAGCAUGACCAUAAUACUCGCUUAUUUGAGAAAUGUCCUAUUCCUCCCAGAAAAAGUGACCUACUAGAUUACAGCUUCAGAUGUGAGUAGAUUGUUUCAAUCCAAAAAAGUUUUAAGUCUUACUUGAUCAUGAUCUCUUCUAUAAAUGUCCUCAGCAUCUUUUCGCUCCAUUUGCAGGAGGCUUUGUACAAAAAUUAUUUUUAUUGACUUGAAAACAUGUUUCAUUCAUAUACUUUACAAACCAGAAAACAAACAAAAAACUAAACUUUUAUAGUGGGAGAGAAACGCAUGAAAACUGUUCAGUGCAAUUUGAGAUGCAAAUUCAAGAACAAAGCAAUUCACCUGCCAUUUUUGAAAGGUUUUUCCAAACUUGAAAAACAUUUAAAAAAUUCUCACAAAGAGUAAAAAUAAUUCUCACAAAGAGGAGCAUAUGAACAAACAUGAGGAUACAAUGGAUGUUCAGCAAGCAGAAAAGAGAAACAUUGCGAUAGUUUUGUGUUUUUUUUUUUUUUUUAUGUUUAAAACGGAAGGAAACAAGCUUGUUUCCUCUUUGGUAAGAUGCUCUCUUGCAACUAAAAUUUCAGGGGUGUCAAACUCCAGUCCUCAAGGGCCACUGUCGUGCAACUUUUAGAUGUGCCUCUGCUGCACCAUACCUGAAUAGAAUAAUUAGGUCAUUAGCAAGGCUCUGGAGAAUUUAUUUAGACAAGAAGUAGGUAAUUAAGGCAUUUCAUUUCAGUGGUUUGUACCUGUGUCACAACUGCAGGACAUCGGACCUUGAGGACAAGAGUUUGACACCUGUGCUUUAAAUACUCCAUAGCAGUUCACCUUUUGUUGUUUUAGUUGUGUUUUUUACACCCUUAAAUAUGUGAAGUAUGAAGAAGCAUUAUUGUUUAUGCAACGUUCAGUAAUGGCAACCUCCAACAACAGACAUUAUGAAUUUCUUUCUGGGAUUUAUGAAGUUUAUAUUCAUUCAUUCGCUAUUUUUUGCUAGCUAGUUUUAGCCGGAACACUGUGGUUCAAAUCUAACUGAACAUAUUUAUUCAGUUAACUGUUCUAUUCAUUCGGCACGCGUCAUGACCAGUAAGUUUAUAUAGAUCAUUCUGUGAGUAAAUAUAUUAACUGUGCUAGUUUUAAGUGUAGAAUGGAAGUUUGUUUCCAGCUUUAGCUUAUUUAGCCGCCGCGGUAAUGCUAGGUAGCCGAGCGACUUAACGCCACAUAUGGUUGUCAGGGAAACGGUUUCCAAUAUGUCAAUAAGU